AACGAACGCUGGCGGCAUGCCUAACACAUGCAAGUCGAACGAGACCUUCGGGUCUAGUGGCGCACGGGUGCGUCACGCGUGGGAACCUGCCCUUAGGUUCGGAAUAACCUCCUGAAAGGGGUGCUAAUACCGGAUAAUGUCUUCGGACCAAAGCUUUAUCGCCUUUGGAUGGGCCCGCAUUGGAUUAGCUAGUUGGUAGGGUAAAAGCAUACCAAGGCGACGAUCCAUAGCUGGUCUGAGAGGAUGGUGAGCCACACUGGGACUGAGACACGGCCCAGACUCCUACGGGAGGCAGCAGUGGGGAAUAUUGGACAAUGGGCGAAAGCCUGAUCCAGCGAUGCCGCGUGAGUGAUGAAGGCCUUAGAGUUGUAAAGCUCUUUUACCCGGGAUGUUAAUGACGGUACCGGGAGAAUAAGCUCCGGCUAACUCCGUG
rnacentral:rRNA from 1 species